AUUGAACGCUGGCGGCAUGCUUUACACAUGCAAGUCGAACGGUAACAGGCCGCAAGGUGCUGACGAGUGGCGGACGGGUGCGUAAUGCAUCGGAACGUGCCCAGUCGUGGGGGAUAACUACUCGCAAGAGUAGCUAAUACCGAAUACGAUCUAUGGAUGAUAGCGGGGGACCGUAAGGCCUAGCGCGACUGGAGCGGCCGAUGUCAGAUUAGGUAGUUGGUGGGGGAAAGGCUCACCAAGCCAACGAUCUGUAGCUGGUCUGAGAGGACGACCCGCCACACUGGAACUGGGACACGGCCCAGACUCCUACGGGAGGCAGCAGAGGGGAAUUUUGGACAAUGGGCGCAAGCCUGAUCCAGCAAUGCCGCGUGCAGGAAGGAGGCCUUCGGGUUGUAAACUGCUUUUGUACGGAACGAAACGGCUCUGGUUAAUACCCGGGGCUAAUGACGGUACCGUAAGAAUAAGCACCGGCUAACUACGUG
rnacentral:rRNA from 1 species